CCUACGGGAGGCAGCAGUGGGGAAUAUUGCACAAUGGGGGAAACCCUGAUGCAGCGACGCCGCGUGGGUGACGAAGUAUUUCGGUAUGUAAAGCCCUAUCAGCAGGGAAGAAGAUGACAGUACCUGACCAAGAAGCCCCGGCUAACUACGUGCCAGCAGCCGCGGUAAUACGUAGGGGGCAAGCGUUAGCCGGAUUUACUGGGUGUAAAGGGAGCGUAGGUGGCAUGGCAAGCCAGAAGUGAAAACCCGGGGCUUAACCCCGCGGAUUGCUUUUGGAACUGUCAGGCUGGAGUGCAGGAGGGGCAGGCGGAAUUCCUGGUGUAGCGGUGAAAUGCGUAGAUAUCAGGAGGAACACCGGUGGCGAAGGCGGCCUGCUGGACUGUAACUGACACUGAGGCUCGAAAGCGUGGGGAGCAAACAGGAUUAGAUACCCCUGUAGUC
rnacentral:rRNA from 1 species